CGGCGGACGGGUGAGUAACACGUGGGUAACCUACCUAUAAGACUGGGAUAACUUCGGGAAACCGGAGCUAAUACCGGAUAAUAUUCGAACCGCAUGGUUCGAUAGUGAAAGAUGGUUUUGCUAUCACUUAUAGAUGGACCCGCGCCGUAUUAGCUAGUUGGUAAGGUAACGGCUUACCAAGGCGACGAUACGUAGCCGACCUGAGAGGGUGAUCGGCCACACUGGAACUGAGACACGGUCCAGACUCCUACGGGAGGCAGCAGCC
rnacentral:rRNA from 1 species